rnacentral:tRNA from 1 species
GUCCCUGGAGGACUAGUGGUUAGGCCACAGUGCUCUCACCGCUGUGACCUGGGUUCGAUUCAAGUGUGUCA